CAUCGUGCACCUAUCGCAUGCGAACAUCACAGCGUCUUCACCGCUGCCAAUUAUUGCUGCCCAAUAAGCCGCGAGCAUUACGUGCGUUCCAGAUGUCCUCGGCACAACAGUGUGAGGAGGCCGCGGCGGAGGGGACCGUGGUGAAGACAACGGCUAACAAGGAUUACUACUUCGACUCCUACAGUCACUAUGGCAUUCACAUGGAGAUGCUGAAAGACUACCACCGCACGACGGCCUAUCGCGAUGCGAUCUGGCGUAAUGCGUACAUGUUCAAGAACAAGGUCGUCCUUGACGUUGGCUGCGGUACUGGUAUUCUCUCCAUGUUUGCUGCCCGCGCGGGUGCGCGCAAGGUCAUCGGCAUUGACUGCAGCAAUGUGGCGGUCCAGGCACGCCGAAUUGUGCAGGACAACGGCUUCAGCGACGUCAUCACCAUUAUCCAAGGCAAGGUCGAGGAGCUGGACCUGGAUGAGAAGGUGGACAUUAUCAUUAGCGAGUGGAUGGGCUACUUCCUCCUGUACGAGUCCAUGCUGAACACAGUUCUCUACGCGCGUGACCGCUGGGGUACGCCAGAUGUGAAGAUUCUGCCGAACAGCGCCAACAUGUACGCAUGCGGCAUCACCGACCCACAGUACAUCGAGCAGAAGUUCGACAUCUGGAAGAACGUGAAUGGACUCGACUUUUCCUACUUCAAGCGCCUCAGCUACAUUGAGCCCCUCAUCGACACCGUCGACCCGGAGCAGAUCAUCACCGACAUUGUCCCUUUCUUCUCCUUCGACAUCAACAAGGUGACGGAGGCAGAGUUGUCCUUCACGAGAACCUUCGCACUGGAGGCGAAGCAGGGCGACUUUGUGCACGCCAUCUCGGUCCACUUCGACACCCCAUUCCACGCAGGCCAUGAUCCAGUGGUGCUGAACACGUCGCCAAUGGUGCCGCCCACACACUGGCGGCAGACCGUGCUCUACAUUUUCCAUCCGCUAAUCAUGAAGCGGGGCGAGAAGGCGAACUUCACGAUAAAGUGUGUGCCGAACCCGGGAAAUCCGCGGGACCUAGACAUUUCUCUGCGCAUCGACUUCGAUGGUGAGCUGCAGGCGUGCCACUACGACCAAGACUUCCGCCUCCGGUGAAGACGCCAGUGAUGGAAAGGCGCUAAAAAAGCCUGACGAGGUCAAAGGAGAAUCAGGCAGAGGGAGGUGGGGCGCAGCGCGUGUACUCGAAGUGCGGCCUUGCCUGGAUACGACUGCAUGCAGUCAUAUACAUGAGUAUGUGAGCUGUGUCUGCUCUCGGAUCAGCAAGAUGGAGAACGGUUGUGGGCGGAAAGAGCACGCGAGCCAUUGGCGAGAAUCCUACGUGCACAGGAAACUGUGUCGCCCACCGAUGUAGGCCUCUGAGAUUACUUUUCUGCACGGACGUUCACCAGUGGAAGGGCUCGCUUAUGGAGCGCCGAGAGAUCAUGGAUGGCGCCCCCGCUACCGUAACACUCACGAUUAUCACUCCUGAAAAAGAGAAAGGAAACAUGUGAGUUUCCCGACAGCGACCUUGUUAAGCCCUCCGUGACCGUGGGGGCAGUAGCCCCCACGAUCUCUCCUUCCUCCACCUCUUCCCCGCGGGGCUGUGUGUGUCUUGCGGUUUUGCAUAAGUCUGUGCUUAAGGCAUACAGGACACUUUAACGCUUGUCAUCUUGCCAGCCCACGUUCGGCGCUGCGCACGUAACGUUGUGUGACUGCCGUUCGCUGCGGCCAGCAAAAAUGGCGAGGUAAGAGAGAAAACCACAACUAAUCUGCCAGGCAGCUUCCGUCGAGCUUUGGGAAGGGAGAGUGAGGAAGAGGGGUGGCGGCUGGACGCGCGUGGCCGUUGCUCUCCUGCCCGUCGGAAAGACAGCGGACGGACGGUAGCGCGACGCGAGUUUCACCACGAAUCCGUGUGAGGUGAACCUCCGUGACGCUGCCCAUGUGUCCGUGAUAGGGUAUAAAGAUGCGAGUUUGACUUGUGAGUUGGGUUUGCUCGUUCUGCCUCUCCAUAUCCCUUCGCAAGCAUGGCUGGGUUUCCUUGUACACCUACUCUCCCUGCACCUGCCAAGCAAGUCAUGAUGGCGGAUUGUAUCUGAUGGGCCAUGCUGAUGUAUGAGCGAUCCGAUGGUAAGCUAACUCUAAAGUGCAGAC
rnacentral:misc_RNA from 1 species